AAACAAUUUGACUGAGGGGCAGAAGGAGAGACCAAGACAAGUUUUAGAGCAGGCGUGAAAGUUUAUUCAAAAGCUUUAGAGCAGGAAGGAAAGGAAGGAAAGUACACUUGAAAGAGGGCCAAGCGGGCGAUUUGAAAGACCAGCACGGUUUGAACUUUUGACUUGGGGUUUUAUACCUUGGCAGGCUUCCGAGGUCUUGCGUUGCUUCUCCUGCUCAUCCAACGCUGAGAUCUGAUCCGGAAGCUGCUGAUCACCAGUUUCAGCUGUUUUCUAUCUGGUGCUGAAAGGAGACAAUGAGACUAUGUGGAUCAGAACAAGACAGUUUACUACACACAGCAAACAGAAGCAUUGUCUUAGCCAUGUCAGCCUCCCUUGCCCCCCAGGUCCCAAGAGGUGAAGUGAUAGACCCAGACAGAUAGAUGUGCACAGUGGAUUCCAGCACAGCUGAAGAAUCAAAGCCAACAGCCCAGAACUUUUUGAGCAAGCAGCAGUUUAGCAAACAGCAAACAAGUAGUCCAAUAUUAGUUAUUAGCAUUAGUUAUUGUAGGUCACAUUGACCUACUCACGUGCCUACGUACCUCGCUACAGAAACUAUUCAGUAUCAGGAGGUGGAUAAACACCACAAAUAUUGUAUCCUAAUAGCAGCCUUAUAAGAUGGGUAUUGAACUGGGCAUGGUGGUAUACACCCAUAAUCCCAGCCACUUGGGAGACUGAGACAGGAGGAUUGCUUGAGCCCAGGAGUUUGAGACCAGCCUGGGCAACAUAGUUACAGCCCACCUCACUAAAAAAAAAUUUUUUUAAGAUAGGUACUAUCAUGAUCAUCCUCUUUAUUGAUGAGGAGAUUGAAGCAGAGAUAAGCUGCACAUGGCAGAGUCAGGAUUUGAACUCAGACAGUAUUGGCUCCUACCCACAAUACCAGGUUUCCUUUGUUGGGGCUCAGAAAAUGAUACCCCGAAGCAUACUGCUACUUUGCACUAAAGCAGCAGCCUCAGAACCAAGGUCUGACCUUCUCUCUGACCUUCUCCCACCCCCCAUCUCUUGCCCCUCCUCCUCUCCUGAAGCACAGGAAGAGACUUUUCUCUGAAGUUUCCUUAUCUACCUAAAGAUCCAAUCCACUGAAGAGGAA
rnacentral:lncRNA from 1 species